rnacentral:misc_RNA from 1 species
CCACCCUCAGGCUCGGCCUGGUGUUGGGGGCCUGCCGCGCGCAGCCCUCGAAAGACAGCGGCGGUCCCGAUCCCGGCUCCGAGCGUAGUAAUACACGUCGCUCCGGGCGCCUGGCGGGCUUCCAGCCGGAAACCUCACAUAUCAAUGG